GUCUCUGCCAGGGAAACACAGAGCCUGUGAGGAGCAGUGCAGGUUCCAGCAAACAAGGUGAAAGCCAUAUCCCACCAGUUCUCCGUCACAGAAAGGGGGCUCAUUGCCCUGAGUCAGUGGACAGUCAGAGAGCUGUAACUGCAAAAGCUGACGGCGAUGACUCUGAUUUUUGGUGGAGGGAGAACUGGGAGCUACGUGUGCUGCUGCUGCUAUGGUUACUGCUCUACUGUUUCUGGGUGUUGCCUCAGAUCGACCUGAAGACACUGCCCAACAUGCUGCUGAACCGCUGAACACACACACACACACAUGCACAAGCACAGCUUCUCUGAGCUAUGAGGAAAAAUAAAAAACUUUAAGUUUUUUAACAUGCACAUGCUCACACAGCCAACUGCCACAUUUUAAUGAAUCUACAUUAAGUGAAGAUAUUUAAAACAUGUAUAAUUUCAAACUUACAAGAGUUGGUUUUCUAUGUUUUGGUUUUUGGCUUCUAGUGUGGCUUGAAUCAGUCUAUGUGAGAGUGUAAAGGUCACUGGGGGAGGAAAAACAUUGCAGUCUUUUUAGAAAAAGAUCAUGCUUUUAUGAAAAUAAAGUUACAAAUUUAAGGAUAAAAAUAAACAAACCCGAUUCUGAAAAAGAUUGGACACUGUGUAAAAUGUAAGAAAAAAACCUCAACAGAAUUCUGUGAUCAGACAAACCAAUUUGAAAUUCUUCUUGGAAUGAAGAGGAGCUUGUUAUCAGCACUCAGUUCAAAAACCAGCAUCUUUGAUGGUAUGGGGCUGCAUUAGUGGCUAUGGAACUAGCAGCUGGCACAUCUGGAAAGACACAAUCAAUGCUACAAGGUCUAUAUACAUUUAAGAGAAACUAGCCAAAGACAUUA